rnacentral:rRNA from 1 species
UACGAAGGGUGCAAGCGUUACUCGGAAUUACUGGGCGUAAAGCGUGCGUAGGUGGUUCGUUAAGUCUGUCGUGAAAGCCCCGGGCUCAACCUGGGAAUGGCGAUGGAUACUGGCGGGCUAGAGUGCGGUAGAGGAGAGUGGAAUUCCCGGUGUAGCAGUGAAAUGCGUAGAGAUCGGGAGGAACAUCAGUUGCGAAGGCGGCUCUCUGGACCAGCACUGACACUGGAGGCACGAAAGCGUGGGGAGCAAACAGG